UACUCAACUCGUAAUAUAUUGUCCCGCUAUAUAUACAUGGAUUGAUGUCUCUCUUAUCGCUUAUCGCGAACGUAAGGUUUAAUGACCAAGCAUGCGGCUCCUGCCAAGGUUUUAAUAAAAACUCAGUUACGUAAUCUCAUCCUCCUUCCCGUCAGGCUGCGCAUAUCAAAACGGCUGACGAACGAUCAACAUCAAAGAAAGAAACAGAAAGGCUCCGAGACAAGCUGGUGUUCA
rnacentral:snoRNA from 1 species